rnacentral:miRNA from 1 species
UAGACCUUUGUGUUGCCAUCG